UACUGUUAUGGAGGCAAUAUCAACUAGACUGAUGUUAAAUUCAGUCAGAAAACACCACAUCAUGAUCAUCUUCUACUGUAUAAUCCUAAAUGUGAUGCUGGUUUCAGGCUCUUCUCUGAGUGACAAGGUCGAUCAGAAACCAUCUGAAAUGUACAUCGAAGCUGCAAAAACAGCCAACAUCAGCUGUAUACACGAUAUUCAAGACUACACCCGAAUCUUCUGGUACAAGCAGUCAGAGAACCAUCGGAUGCAGCUCCUGGGAUAUAUGAAUGUAAACCAGGAAAAUCUAGAGGAUGGGGUGAAUGUGAAGAUGCACGGGGGAGCAACUAGAGGCCAGACCUGCACAUUAACCAUCAAAGACGCCAGUCAGAGCAGCAGUGCAGUUUACUUCUGUGCUGCUAGUCGACACAGUGCUGCAUAUCGACGCUUCUCAAUACAAAAACCUCCCAACAACAGAUUUCUUUCAUCUCAGUCUAGCGGCUCACAGCUCCUUGCACCUGUAUGA